rnacentral:tRNA from 1 species
GCCUGGGUGGCUCAGCGGUUUAGCGCCUGCCUUCAGCACAGGGCGUGAUCCUGGAGACCUGGGAUCGAAUCCCACAUCAGGCU